rnacentral:rRNA from 1 species
UACAGAGGUCCCAAGCGUUGUUCGGAUUCAUUGGGCGUAAAGGGUGCGUAGGCGGCGCGGUAAGUCGGGUGUGAAAUCUCGGAGCUUAACUCCGAAACUGCAUUCGAUACUGCCGUGCUUGAGGACUGGAGAGGAGACUGGAAUUUACGGUGUAGCGGUGAAAUGCGCAGAUAUCGGGAAGAACACCCGUGGCGAAGGCGGUUCUCUGGGACGGUACUGACGCUGAGACGCGAAAGCGUGGGGAGCAAACAGG